rnacentral:rRNA from 1 species
GCCUUUCGGGGUGGAUUAGUGGCGAACGGGUGAGUAACACGUGGGCAAUCUGCCCUUCACUCUGGGACAAGCCCUGGAAACGGGGUCUAAUACCGGAUAACACUCUGUCCCGCAUGGGACGGGGUUAAAAGCUCCGGCGGUGAAGGAUGAGCCCGCGGCCUAUCAGCUUGUUGGUGGGGUAAUGGCCUACCAAGGCGACGACGGGUAGCCGGCCUGAGAGGGCGACCGGCCACACUGGGACUGAGACACGGCCCAGACUCCUACGGGAGGCAGCAGUGGGGAAUAUUGCACAAUGGGCGAAAGCCUGAUGCAGCGACGCCGCGUGAGGGAUGACGGCCUUCGGGUUGUAAACCUCUUUCAGCAGGGAAGAAGCGAAAGUGACGGUACCUGCAGAAGAAGCGCCGGCUAACUACGUGCCAGCAGCCGCGGUAAUACGUAGGGCGCAAGCGUUGUCCGGAAUUAUUGGGCGUAAAGAGCUCGUAGGCGGCUUGUCACGUCGGAUGUGAAAGCCCGGGGCUUAACCCCGGGUCUGCAUUCGAUACGGGCUAGCUAGAGUGUGGUAGGGGAGAUCGGAAUUCCUGGUGUAGCGGUGAAAUGCGCAGAUAUCAGGAGGAACACCGGUGGCGAAGGCGGAUCUCUGGGCCAUUACUGACGCUGAGG